ensembl:lncRNA
CCACCCCCACACACACACACACACACCUCUCCAAGCGUACCCGGCUCCACGAGGAGGUAAAAAGGGGCUCAGCCCCCUUCAGGGUUAGUUGUAUGUCCUUUAUAUAAAAAUAGUAAGAAAGUUCAAAUGAUUGAGUGACAGGUUGGCACAAGAUGUGUAAUCUGUAAUCUGCUUCAGCCUGUCAUUCAGAUAUAAUGUCCAUACAGUCCUCCUCCUCCUCCUCUGGGACUCACUGUACACGUUCUUAAAGAAACAGUGACUUCCAACAGUGACUUCCAACAGUAACUUCCAACAGUGACUUCCAACAGUGACUUCCAACAGUGAGUUUCCAACAGUGACUUCCAACAGUGACUUCCAACAGUGACUUCCAACAGUGACUUCCAACAUGAGUUUCCAACAGUGACUUCCAACAGUGACUUCCAACAGUGACUUCCAACAGUGACUUCCAACAGUGACUUCCAACAGUGACUUCCAACAGUGACUUCC